rnacentral:rRNA from 1 species
CUCCUUUCGACCGAGAUGAAUGUCUGUCGACCUAAUACGUCGACAGAGUGACAGUAUCGAGGGAAGCAGCCCCGGCUAACUCCGUGC